GAAAUCUAGGUGCUGGGCCCCAUCAUUCAUAACUGCUGAAAUGUGAAUACUCAGUUUGACUGCAUCAUUAUAGCAGAGGAGAAACCUGCUUGACAUUUUUACACCACUAUGUUUGAUGUUCUGUCACGUGGCAAAAGGAAAAGAAAAUACAGCCCCCUAUUACAGUAUUUUUCAAUUCACUGCAAUGCAGCAAAGGCAGGAGCAACAGAGGGAGGCUGUAUGAGACUGGCUAAGACUGCAAUCCCACACACAUCUCCUCAAGGGAAGGAAGAUGCUGUACAGUCUCUUCGAAACUUACACAAUGCUGGCUAUUUCACUACCCCUUAAGGAUGUAUCAGAGUUGCCUUUACU